rnacentral:rRNA from 1 species
UACGUAGGGAGCGAGCGUUGUCCGGAUUUAUUGGGCGUAAAGGGCGUGUAGGCGGCUUGUUAAGUCUGGAGUGAAAAUCCGGGGCUCAACCCCGGAACUGCUUCGGAUACUGGCGAGCUUGAGUGCUCUAGAGGGCAGUGGAAUUCCCGGUGUAGCAGUGAAAUGCGUAGAGAUCGGGAGGAACACCAGUGGCGAAGGCGACUGCCUGGGGAGUAACUGACGCUGGAGGCGACGAAGGCGUGGG